AGGGUUUUACACACGAGAAAUAAAAAUACAUUGACCAAGUCACACGGGCCUCGACCGCUGCGAAAAUCCACUAAAAAGCUGUAAAAAUCGGCCCGGGGAAGUUCUGCUGGGCGCGGCCGCGCUAACUUAGCGCAGGCGCGCUAGUCACAGCAGUUAGUAGCGCGGGCGCGCUAACAAGUAGCGCGGGCGCGCUACUGUCUGUGAUGGCAGCCCCGUUUCUUCGUUUCUCGCUCGUUCUCGCGUGCAUGUCCUUCCUCGCUUCUAGUACCACUUCCGUAGGUGAUCACGGUUGCAUUUAGCAUAUGCAACAAGCCCUUUAAACCCCUAGAUAGCUCUAGUGGACGAGUGUGCUCUCGUGAGGGUUUGUAGAAGAUAUACCCACAAAAUCCCAAGUCGCGGUGAAUCCACAAUUCUCUAUUCUUGCAAAUAAUGCACCAAAACCAACCUAAAAUGAUAGAAAAUCACUUCAUCACCUCAACUCGUGACCUGCACAGAAAAACAAUAAAAACACAUCAAAAGACACUAAACACUUAAGUACAA
rnacentral:lncRNA from 1 species